GACGAACGCUGGCGGCGUGCCUAAUACAUGCAAGUCGAACGCAGUGGGGACGGGUGAGUAACACGUGGGUAACCUCCCAUCAGAGGGGAUAACACUUGGAAACAGGUGCUAAACCGAUACUGAUGGAUGGACGCGGGGUGCAUUAGCUAGUUGGUGAGGUAACGGCUCACCAAGGCCACGAUGCAUAGCCGACCGUAGAUGGAUAUGGGCCACAGUGGGGCUGAGACACGGCCCAGACUCCUACGGUAGGCAGCAGUAGGGAAUCUUCGGCAAUGGACGAAAGUCUGACCGGACAACGCCGCGUGAGUGAAGACGGUUUUCGGAUCAUAAAACUCUGUUGUUAGAGAAGCGGUAUCUAACCAGAAAGCCACGGCUAACUACGUGCCAGCAGCCGCGGUAAUAC
rnacentral:rRNA from 1 species